rnacentral:rRNA from 1 species
UACAGAGGUCUCAAGCGUUGUUCGGAUUCAUUGGGCGUAAAGGGUGCGUAGGCGGCGCGGUAAGUCGGGUGUGAAAUCUCGGAGCUUAACUCCGAAACUGCAUUCGAUACUGCCGUGCUUGAGGACUGGAGAGGAGACUGGAAUUUACGGUGUAGCGGUGAAAUGCGUAGGAUAAUCGUAAGGAAGACCAGUGGCGAAGG